rnacentral:rRNA from 1 species
ACGACCCCAGGUCAGGCGGUAUUACCCGAUGAGAUUAAGAAUAUCAAUUAGUGGAGGAAAAGAAACUUACAAAGAUUAUCCUAGUAAAGGCAAACGAAUAUGGAAUAGUGUAGCCUUAGAAUUGGGCGAUUCCAUCAUCUAAAUUGUAGUAUGGAGAAGCAUCCUCAAUGGUGGACAACACCCAAGUACCCUAUAAGGAGGCCCUAGAGAGGGUGAGAGACUCGUUAUGUAUGAUCCAUAUCGCACCAUGAGGCAUUAUCAACGAGUUAGGUUGUUUAGGAAUGCAACCAAAAUCUAUUGGUGAAUUUCAUCCAAGGCUAAAUACAUGCAAGAGAAUGAUAGCAAACAUAUACUAUGAGGGAAAGAUGAAAAGGACUUUGAAAAUAUAUUUAAAGAGUGCUUUAAAUUAUCUACAGAAAAGCUGAUAGGGGUCGGUGAUGUGCCCUAGUUGGAUGAGAAAUGGCAAUGAGUUGGUCCACCGAUCAACUUGAGGCAACGAGCAUCAUGGAUUGGGGAGUGGCAAAAGCCCAAGCUCUUGAAACUCUCAUGGAAUGUAAUAUCCUCGAUUGUUGUAGGAAGCGUGCUCCUCUAGCGUAUUUCAGUAUCUUCACGCCUAUAUGCUGGCUGGUGGUAACCCUAUUUGACCCAUUUUCAAACAUGGAAAAAGGAGUCUUAAAUAUGUAAUAGUCAAUGGGUGAGAAAACCCAUAAUGUGUAAGGAAGCUGAUUGGUGGGACCAUCCUGAGGUAUGCAUCAAUGAAAAAUCAUAGAUUUAUGAGAAGGGUUCGAGUUUGAGCAUACCUAUUAAGACCUAAAAGAUGGUGAACUAUGCCAGAGUGGGGCGAAGCCAGAGGAAAAUUUGGUGGAGGCUUAUAGCAAUACAGAUGUACAAAUCUUUUUUUUGACUUGGGUAUAGGGUUAAAAGACCAAUCCAACCAAUUAGUAGCUAGUUUCUAUCAAAGUUUCUCUCAGAAGAGUUGAAGCUCUCAUGCGAGUUCUAACGGGUAAAGCCAAUUAUUAGGGGCCUCAAGGGUGAAACGCCCUUGAACUAUUCUCAAAUUUUAAAUAAGUAGGAUGUCAUGGCUUAUUUCUUGAGAUACACCAUAAAAUCAAGAGCUCAAAGUGGGCUAUUUUUUAUAAAAUGAACUGGCGAUGCGAGAUGAACUAGAAGCCGAGUUAUGGUGCAAAACUCAUCGCUAACAUAAAUCCCACAAAGGGUGUUGAUCGAUUAAUAUUGUUGGAUGGUUGUUAUGGAAGUUGAAAUCCACUAAGGAGGGUGUAGCAACACACCUACCGAAUCAACUAGCCCUGAAAACACAUAGUGCGACCUACACCCAUCCGUGGGGGUAAGUACUAGGACCCUAUAAGUAGGCAUGCAUGGCGGUCGCUGCAAAACGUUGGGCAUGAGCCUUGGAGGAGUGUUCAUCGAUGCAGAUCUAGUUAGUAGUAAAAAAUCCUCAAAUAAGAACUUUAAAGGCCAAAGAUGGGAAAGGUUCUAUGUGAACGUCACUUGUACAUGGGGUAGUCAAUCCUAAACUAAAGACAUUGGUGGGAUCCAAGGGAAGAGUUAUCAUUUAAAUUUAACAGCCUUCCCCCCCUUGAAUCGGCUCAGCCAGAUGUAGGUUCCAGUAGUUGGAACAAUACUGCACAUUGCAUGGUGUUCGUUGCGCUCUCGGAUCCAUUAAAAAUCUAGAGGACCAAAUGUUGUCCACGCUCGGUAGUACUGAUAACCACUUCGAGUGUCCAAGGAGUUGACAAAAUGGAUCCAUAACUUCAGGAAAAGGAUUGACUCUGAGGGUUGGGCAUAGGGGUCCCAGUCCCAAUAUGAUCGGCUUUUGGAAAACUGCUCGAGUUUCUCCCAUGGUGAGAGCAGGUCACCAUAUGUCUGCCAGAGGACGGACUAGGAACGGUUCCUUCGGGGGCCUUCCCUACUCUUUGAACAACCAACUUAGAACAAAUACAAACUAGGGAAUCUAACUAUUUAGUCUAAACAAAGCAUAGGGAUGGUCCCAACGGAUGUUCACACAAUGUGAUUUCUACCUAGUGUAAUAAAUGUCAAAGUGAAUAAAUUCAACCAACCAUGGGUAAACGACGGGAGUAACUAUGACUAUCUUCAGGUAGCUAAAUGCCUCGUCAUCUUAUUUGUGACUUGCAUCAAUGGAUUAAUAUGAUUCCAUUUGUCCCUGUCUAUUAUCUAGUGAAACCACAGCCAAGGGAAUGGGCUUGGUAGAAUCAGCUGGGAAAAAAGACCCUGUUGAGCUUGACUCUAGCUUAACUUUGUGAAAUAACAUAAGAGGUAUAGUAUAAGUAGGAGCUGAAAGGCGAAAUUGAAAUACCACUAUUUAUAACAUUAUUUUACAUAUUUAGUAAAUAAAAAGCGGGGCACUGUUCCUCUUUACGGACCCAAGGCUCCCUCUAUGAGCCGAUUCGUGUAGAAAAAAUUACCAGCUGGGGAGAUUGGUUGGGGUGGCACACUAGUUAAAAGAUAAUGCAAGUGUCUUAAGAUGAGCUCAAUGAGAACCUAAAUCUCGUGUGGAACAGAAGGGUAAAAGAUUAUUUCAUUUUGAUUUCCAAUACGAAUACAAACCAUGAAAAUAUGGCCUAAUGGUCCUUUAGACCUUCAAAAUUUGAAGCUAGAGGUGUCAGAAAAGUUACCACAAUGAUAAUUGUCUUGUGGCAUCAAAGAGUUCGUAGCGACGUUGCAUUUUUAUCCUUCGAUGUCGGUUCUUCUAUCAUUGUGAAGAAAAAUUCACCAAGUGUUGCAUUGUUCACCCACUAAUUGGGAACAUGAGAUGGGUUUAGACCAAUAUGAGAUAGGUUAGUUUUACCCUACUGAUGAUAGUGUUGCAAAUUGUAAUUCAACCUAGUAUGAGAGGAACCAUUGAUUAAAAAAAUUCAUCGUUGCACAUAGUUGAAAAUCCAAUGGUGUGAAGAUACUAUGUACUGGAUUAUGACUGAAUGCCUCUAAGUUGGAACCUGGGAUAGAAGUAAAGUAUGCUACCGUUUUCUUCUUGCCGACCAAUAGUAGGGUCCUCGGCCGCCAAUGGCACAUGUCAUUGGCUAAGCCAUCGCAGUGAAAGGGUUGUGGUGGGAAUCUUAAAGUAAAAUUUUCAUAUAGUGACAAGUAGAAUCCUUUGAACAUGACUU